rnacentral:rRNA from 1 species
GUCGAACGAGGGUCCUUCGGGACUCGAGUGGCGAACGGGUGAGUAACACGUAGGGAACCUGCCCGUGCGACCGGGAGAACUUUCGGAAACGGAAGCUGAUACCGGAUAGGGACAGAGACGGCAUCGACUCUGUGUUAAAGGAGCUGAAAGGCUCCGCGCACGGAUGGACCUGCGGUGCAUUAGCUAGUUGGUGAGGUAACGGCCCACCAAGGCGACGAUGCAUAGCCGGCCUGAGAGGGCGGACGGCCACACUGGGACUGAGACACGGCCCAGACUCCUACGGGAGGCAGCAGUAGGGAAUUUUCGUCAAUGGGCGCAAGCCUGAACGAGCAAUGCCGCGUGAACGAGGAAGGUCUUCGGAUCGUAAAGUUCUGUUGAAGGGGAAAAAGAGCGGAGAGAGGAAAUGGUCUCCGAUUGAUAUUACCCUUCGAGGAAGUCACGGCUAACUACGUGCCAGCAGCCGCGGUAAUACGUAGGUGGCGAGCGUUAUCCGGAAUGAUUGGGCGUAAAGGGUGCGUAGGCGGCCUGCUAAGUCUGGAGUGAAAGGUACCGGCUCAACCGGUACAGGCUCUGGAAACUGGCGGGCUAGAGAGCAGGAGAGGGCGGUGGAACUCCAUGUGUAGCGGUAAAAUGCGUAGAUAUAUGGAAGAACACCAGUGGCGAAGGCGGCCGCCUGGCCUGUUACUGACGCUGAGGCACGAAAGCGUGGGGAGCAAAUAGGAUUAGAUACCCUAGUAGUCCACGCCGUAAACGAUGAGGACCAAGUGUUGGGGAAGACCCAGUGCUGCAGUUAACGCAGUGAGUCCUCCG